rnacentral:tRNA from 1 species
GUUGAGAUGGCCGAGUUGGUCUAAGGCGCCAGAUUAACGUUCUGGUCCGAAAGGGCGUGGGUUCAAAUCCCCCUCUCAACA